GACGAACGCUGGCGGCGUGCUUAACACAUGCAAGUCGAACGGAAAGGCCCUGCUUUUGUGGGGUGCUCGAGUGGCGAACGGGUGAGUAACACGUGAGUAACCUGCCCUUGACUUUGGGAUAACUUCAGGAAACUGGGGCUAAUACCGGAUAGGAGCUCCUGCUGCAUGGUGGGGGUUGGAAAGUUUCGGCGGUUGGGGAUGGACUCGCGGCUUAUCAGCUUGUUGGUGGGGUAGUGGCUUACCAAGGCUUUGACGGGUAGCCGGCCUGAGAGGGUGACCGGCCACAUUGGGACUGAGAUACGGCCCAGACUCCUACGGGAGGCAGCAGUGGGGAAUAUUGCACAAUGGGCGGAAGCCUGAUGCAGCAACGCCGCGUGCGGGAUGACGGCCUUCGGGUUGUAAACCGCUUUCGCCUGUGACGAAGCGUGAGUGACGGUAAUGGGUAAAGAAGCACCGGCUAACUACGUGCCAGCAGCCGCGGUGAUACGUAGGGUGCGAGCGUUGUCCGGAUUUAUUGGGCGUAAAGGGCUCGUAGGUGGUUGAUCGCGUCGGAAGUGUAAUCUUGGGGCUUAACCCUGAGCGUGCUUUCGAUACGGGUUGACUUGAGGAAGGUAGGGGAGAAUGGAAUUCCUGGUGGAGCGGUGGAAUGCGCAGACAUCAGGAGGAACACCAGUGGCGAAGGCGGUUCUCUGGGCCUUUCCUGACGCUGAGGAGCGAAAGCGUGGGGAGCGAACAGGCUUAGAUACCCUGGUAGUCCGCGCUGUAAACGGUGGGUACUAGGUGUGGGGUCCAUUCCACGGGUUCCGUGCCGUAGCUAACGCUUUAAGUACCCCGCCUGGGGAGUACGGCCGCAAGGCUAGAACUCAAAGGAAUUGACGGGGCCCCGCACAAGCGGCGGAGCAUGCGGAUUAAUUCGAUGCAACGCGUAGAACCUUACCUGGGUUUGACAUGGAUCGGGAGUGCUCAGAGAUGGGUGUGCCUCUUUUGGGGUCGGUUCACAGGUGGUGCAUGGCUGUCGUCAGCUCGUGUCGUGAGAUGUUGGGUUAAGUCCCGCAACGAGCGCAACCCUUGUUCACUGUUGCCAGCACGUUAUGGUGGGGACUCAGUGGAGACCGCCGGGGUCAACUCGGAGGAAGGUGGGGAUGACGUCAAGUCAUCAUGCCCCUUAUGUCCAGGGCUUCACGCAUGCUACAAUGGCUGGUACAGAGAGUGGCGAGCCUGUGAGGGUGAGCGAAUCUCGGAAAGCCGGUCUCAGUUCGGAUUGGGGUCUGCAACUCGACCUCAUGAAGUCGGAGUCGCUAGUAAUCGCAGAUCAGCAACGCUGCGGUGAAUACGUUCCCGGG
rnacentral:rRNA from 1 species